rnacentral:lncRNA from 1 species
CUGAAUUCCCCCGCCGCUCCAGCCGCCAGAUCCAAACUGGAAAAAAACGCUUUGAGGACUGCCCAGAAAGGCCUUCGUGGGAACAGAUGAUGCGGGGAGACAAUGCAGGGAGCUGUGCAGAGCGUGCCUUCCCUCAGCUUCUGCCGCCCCAGCUAGAGGGCCUUCUCCGGCGUGCGGACUGGGACCUCCGGAUUCACUGGCUGAUUCGCUGGAGGAAGAGGAGGGAAGAGGCUUGAAGAAGAGGAGAUAGAGCACGCAGGUUACAGCACUCUCGUCCAUCGCUCCAGCUUCUUCAUCGGCCCUCCCGACAGUUUAGUAAGUGCCACAACUAGAAGGUAUUUUAUAUUGAAGAAUCACAAGACUCCAGGUCUCCCUCACACUGCUGUCGUCUGAAAGUGAUACAAGAUUCCUAGCCUGCCUGUUACUACCUCCAGGGGUGACAAGUUACCAGGAAUGCAAUCUGAACACCUUCAGGACUAAAUUCUACAAGACAGGGCUGAAUCCUUCCACACGCAUUCAGGAAUGGCAAAACGGAGCUCAGGGAGUCAGAGGAGCUGCCCACUUUUGUACAGGAGCGCAGGUGGACAGAGGAGUAACGCCUCCCUCAGAAAACCAGCAUAUCUGUCUGAAAGGAAGGUGCAGAUGCUGGCCCCAGGAGGUCAAGGUCUUUGGUGGGGGUCCCGGGGAUCAAACUUGGGACCUUGCACUUGCUAGGCAGGCACCGGAACCGCUGGGCUAAAUCCCUGGACCAGGGUCUCAUUUCUAUAAAGGAGGAACAAACAGAAUAGCCAGGAGGUGAAACAGCAUGAAAAUUUCCUUACCUAUGGUUUUAUUGUAUCUCCUUCAGAGCUGGUGCCAAUUUUGAAUAAACCUUUUUCUUCUCCACCAAAGUUUGUCUCCUGUGUUCUUGGCGAACAACAAAUUGUACAGCCCUGAGCAUCCAUACACCACCAUGCACAGCUAAUCCUUGGAAGUUCUCUUUGCCA